GGAGGUAAAGGUGGGUAGAAAACACAAAAAGACCAAUGGAGCAUAAUUUACAAUAAACUCGUUUAUUAACAUGAAAACCUUUACCAUCCACUUACCUCGGUGGAAUUUAUGAAAACAAUAUAAGAAAAAUAAUAACAUUAUCAUAAUCAUGGGAUAAUAUAAGCUGUAAAACAUAACACUUAUCACGCCUCUUGUAAUUCAAUCAUUGUACAACAUAUCCUUUUUCUCAUUUACCAGCCUACUAGUAUCCGUGGGGGUCCAUAGGGGUUCCGCUACCCGUUAACCUUUAACAUUCAUAAUCAGUUUCCAGGGCCGUCCCCAUACCCCGUCCGGUAUGGGCGCCAAAACCAUGAACCUCAAUACCCCGUCCGGUGUGAGGGUGAAACGGGCCGUCCCCAUACCCCAUCCGAUAUGGGCGCCAAAACCAUAAACCUCAAUACCCCGUCCGGUAUGAGGGUGAAACGGGCCGUCCCCAUACCCCGUCUGGUAUGGGCGCCAAAACCAUAAACCUCAAUACCCCAUCCGGUAUGAGGGUGAAACGGGCCGUCCCCAUACCCCGUCCGGUAUGGGCGCCAAAACCAUAAGAUCUCCAUACCCCGUCCGGCAUGUGAGACCACAAUCCCGGUAGGGUUCCCUACGGACCCGGUCCGUCCACCAACUCCCAGGAUAUCUAGUCAGGCUAACCCCAUAAUCCAAUUAUCAGUCUACACAAUCUUUCAUUUUCCUUUUCCUCAAUAAGCAUCAUCAAUUCACAUUUAAGAAAGCAAAUCGUAAUUCAUGCCAAACAGACAACAUACAGUAUCAGUUCUUCAGUCUUUCAACCCAUAAAUAAAUAAAACAGUAAUAUAUGCACUCGAAACUAUAAAAUGAACACAUCAAACCUCAUAAUGCAUUUAAUGCUGUAAAACAGGUCAAAUAACAGUAAAUCAUAAAUCACACUAGACUCGGGCUCCAUUAGCAACCUUAAGCAGUUUCACACAUGCGUUAAUUCAAGGAAUACCGUUUUAUCAUUUUGAACUUUAAUACCGUGAUAGGAAAUAGGGUGAGGGGUCCUUACUUAUUUUCGGGAUCCGAAUACGAUUCACAGUGCGCCUGCAGGCUGUCCCUAAUUUUCCCUGAAUUUUUCCCGGGGAACUGAAACACACUAACAGUACCUGCACGUGUUCCAAAAAAAAUCCAAAUUAGGCUCAGGGCCUCUUUCGGCCCAAAUCGCAACUCCGGCACGGCGGCUCCGCCGUGCUCCGGUGACGGCGCCGCCGCUGGCGGCGGCGAGUCGCCUCGGGUUGACUGUUUUCGGCCGUUUUUG
rnacentral:lncRNA from 1 species